rnacentral:rRNA from 1 species
UACGGGGGGGGCAAGCGUUGUUCGGAAUUACUGGGCGUAAAGGGCUCGUAGGCGGCCUACUAAGUCGGCUGUGAAAUCCCCAGGCUUAACCUGGGAACUGCAUCCGAUACUGGAUGGCUUGAAUCCGGGAGAGGGAUGCGGAAUUCCAGGUGUAGCGGUGAAAUGCGUAGAUAUCUGGAGGAACACCGGUGGCGAAGGCGGCAUCCUGGACCGGGAUUGACGCUGAGGAGCGAAAGCCAGGGGAGCAAACGGG